rnacentral:precursor_RNA from 9 species
AACGAGACAAAAGUAGAUGUACCGUGACCUUUGUGACCGUUAUAAUGGGCAUUUAGAAUUGAAGUGCUCCUUAUUACGAUCAGAAGGGUCUCGUUCCUUUAUAUCAUCAUCAGAAGU